UGACAUGGGCGAAUUGCAGAUUGGGCAAGAAGCAACAUUGCAACUGGCGUUACAAAACGGCCAACAUAUCCGACGUGUGCGAGAGGAAGACGCACAACGCUGGGCUGGAUGGUACCAAAAUUUCCCGCCACCAUAGUGAGCGAAGAUCUAGCUUGGGGGAGAUCCUCUCCCCCACUAAGGUAAGUAUUCUAUCCUAUUUAUUUUCAUGCAUUUUAUCAUUCUUACUUAAAAAAAAUAAAUAAAUAUUUAUUAGCAUUUCCCUUUAGCAUAUAUGCUUCAUGUAUGUUUAUAUCCCUCAUGGAAAUUAUGACUAGUUGCUUGUUAAUGUUUCUCUAGUGCCUAGUAUACAACUUAGUAUUUCUCUAAGUAUGGAUCACUUAGCUCACUUAAACUGCCAUGAACCUAAAAAAUUUGUGGGUUGCAAGUGCUAGAACUAAGUCUAAGUUGUUGUGGGACAUGAGAUAGUAAGACAAGAGCUACUAUAAUAUUUUUCUAAUCAUGCAUGAUUAUCAGAGAUUUAUUCUUAAAAUGAUCAAAACCUUAAUUGUUCCUCAAUGGUGAUGAAUUCCUACCACAGCCAUAUCUACUUUACAUAAUUGCAACCUUUCCACAUAAGCUAUUUGCUUUGUGUUGAGUGUCGUCAAGUCUUGUUGACCCUUGUUAAGAGACUUUUCAUGCUCCUAAGAUCAAGAUCACGUACACACCACAUAUAUAUAUAUGCUGCUUCUACACUGGAAGUACGCAACCACAUGUAUUUCGCAUCCACUAAAUAGGUUGCUCCAUACUCUAAAUGUUAGAACAUCUCUCUAAGCAUUAUUUGGUAAAUGAGACAUCAAAAGGCUAGGCAAAGUGAAAUAAAAAGAUGGACAUGUGCAAGUCCACAGAAAAAGAAAAUUGAGCACAUGAAAGCUCAUAUAUAAAAAAAAAGAAGACAAAAAUGCUAGCCAUGUCUCAAUACAUAGAGAGUCUAUCAAAUAAAGGAGCAACCUAGUCCACCAUAUAUCACACUUGCACAUCUUGAUCUGGGAGUAUGACACUUCUCUUCAAGGAUCCGAGCUUUGACUUCGCAAUACAUGCAAAGUAAGUAUGCUAUCUCCUUUCAUCCCUACCUUGAACUCCACAUAAGCCUUUUAGAAAUAGGAUGAAAUAGAGAAGGCAACUCUUACCAUAUGCCUUGGUGAGGAAUCAUACACCAUUUGAGUGACAUGAGAGAACCA
rnacentral:lncRNA from 1 species